GUUUUUAUAGUUUAAAAAAAACAUUGGUCUUGUAAACCAAAAAUAAUUUCUAAUUUAAAAACU
rnacentral:tRNA from 1 species